GGGUAACCUGCCCAUCANAAGGGGAUAACACUUGGAAGCAGGUGCUAAUACCGUAUAACAAUCGAAACCGCAUGGUUUCGGUUUGAAAGGCGCUUUGGCGUCACUGAUGGAUGGACCCGCGGUGCAUUAGCUAGUUGGUGAGGUAACGGCUCACCAAGGCAACGAUGCAUAGCCGACCUGAGAGGGUGAUCGGCCACAUUGGGACUGAGACACGGCCCAAACUCCUACGGGAGGCAGCAU
rnacentral:rRNA from 1 species